ACUGGAGGGAAACGGAGAUGAAAACUGAUCAAUGGAAAAAGCGAAUCACGAACGUAGCUAUUCAACUGAUACAUUUGGAGUGGCGUUUUACACAGAAAUAAACUAUAACAUUUUGUUUUUGUUCUUUAAGAAGGUGGAAUGCAUCUUUGUAUUAUGUUUUUAUCUCCGUUAAAACAUUCUAUUUUUAUAUGUUUAAGUUUCUUGAAAUAUUUCCAUGUCAAAACAUGUUCAACUAUUAUAUUUUGUGAAUGUAAUGUGCACGUUUUAUAUGUAUCACUCUUAUAAUACAAAAUAGAUAUGAUUAAAAUUAUAGUCUUAUAACAUUUUUUCUCUUUUUUAGUAUACUUUUUCAAAUAUAUAGCGAUGGAAAAAAAAAAAAAAAAAAAAAAAAAAAAACACUUUGUUAUUGUUAUGUGAAAGUUAUUUGUCUGCCAAAUAUUUAAUCAUUUUAAAACUGGACACCCUGUCAGUAACAUGGAAAGUGUUGUAAAAUUUGAAUCUCCAGCCACAUUCAUUGUUGCCGGACCCAGUGGCUCCGGAAAAACAUCUUUGGUUUUUGAGAUGCUUAGAUAUGCGAAUGACCUAUUUUCUAUUCCUCCUAAAACAAUAAUCUAUUGUUAUGGCGUUUAUCAACCAUUGUAUGAUACAAUGAAGAUGGAAAUAUCGAGUUUAGAGUUUAUUGAAGGCUUACCUGCGAAAGAAAUGUUGGAAACGUGGAACAUGAAGGAAGCAGGACAUAAGAUUAUCAUAAUCGACGAUUUAAUGAGAGCAGGAUCCAAAAAUGGCGACCUUGUGGAUAUCUACUGUCAGUACUCCCAUCACUACAGUUUUUCCUGCAUAUUUUUAUGUCAAAAUGUAUUUUGUGCGAAUAAGGAGUUUCGAACGAUUAGCCUAAAUACGCAUUAUUUCAUAGUAUUUAAAAAUCAAAGAGAUCAGUUGCAAAUACAAACAUUGGGUAGACAAAUAUUUCCCAAUCAAAUAAAGUUCUUUAUGGAGGCUUACAGAAAAGCGACUGAACAAAAAUAUGGUUAUUUAGUGAUUGACUUAUCACCUCACUCCAACCCCUUGUAUAAACUACGAACACAAGUGUUGCCGCAUCAGUUAAUGAUUGUAUAUCGACCCGAAAAGGUGGUAUAAUGAGUCAGUUGAUACAUAAAGAAAACGAUUUUCUUCAGCUUUUUAUAAAAACGUCUCCUUCUCAGCAAAAGGCAUUAAUAAAAACGAUACAACAUUCGCAGCUAAAAGCAAUAGUGCAGGUGGUAUAUAAUGUGUUAGUCAAUCAUGACAGCUUACCUGCACAAGUCAAAGGCAAAGUGCGAAUACAUAAACUAAUAUUUCGACGUUUGAUAAAAAAGGACUAUCAUUAGGUGCGAGAAAACGGAUUUUAACUAAAUAUUUAGACAUAAUUUUACCUGUUCUCAAACAGAUUGACAAUAUACUUGAGGGAUGGCGCAAGAACUAGUGUUGGUACGUAAAACAAAAUAUGAAAAUUUGCUUGCCAAUGCGCAAAAGCAAAACAACUCUCAACAAAUUGGUGGGAAGGAAAUUAAAUCAAAUGAGACAGUUCAAAAUGAUGUGCAGAACAAAUCUCAACAAGUAUCAAAUAGUGAAAACGGUCAGGAAAAUGAAAUCAGUCACUCGGGAAAAUCGAGUGAAGAGACGGAUAAUAAAAACGUAUUGAACUAUGAAGAAACGUUGCAACAAAAAGAUAUAACACCAAAAUUAUAUGUAGAACGACCAUUUAAAAAAAUGCCAUUUAAUAGAAAGGUGGAGUUCAAAAAACGUGAAAAAGUAGUGCCUCCUACAAAAAAGCAGAAAUGGAUUAAUUAUUUAAUUUAAGCAAGGUAACACGGAAAUAAAGGGAAUUACUAUUUUUCAAGUGAAGUGAUCUAAAUAACUGAUAAAAAAGCAAUCAAGUCAUUUCUGAAAAAAAAAUGAAAAGGCAACGAAGCGACAGUGUAUCUGAUAGUGCAAAUACGUCAGAAAAA